rnacentral:rRNA from 1 species
GUAAACGGCGGCCGUAACUAUAACGGUCCUAAGGUAGCGAAAUUCCUUGUCGGGUAAGUUCCGACCCGCACGAAUGGUGUAACGAUCUGGACACUGUCUCAACUACCCACCCGGCGAAAUUGUAGUACCGGUGAAGAUGCCGGUUACCCGCGGCAAGACGGAAAGACCCCAUGGAGCUUUACUGUAACCUGAUAUUGGGUUUCGGUAUUUUAUGUACAGGAUAGGUGGGAGACUAUGAAACUAAGGCGCCAGCCUUAGCGGAGUCGCCCUUGGGAUACCACUCUUAAAGUACUGAAAUUCUAACCUGCGGCCGUGAAUCCGGUCGGGGGACAUUGUCAGGCGGGCAGUUUGACUGGGGCGGUCGCCUCCAAAAGAGUAACGGAGGCGCUCAAAGGUUCGCUCAGCAUGGUCGGAAACCAUGCCUUAGAGUGUAAACGCAAAAGCGAGCCUAACUGCGAGGCUGACGGGCCGAGCAGUAACGAAAGUUGGAGUUAGUGAUCCGGCGGUAUGUGAAUGGAAAUGCCGUCGCUCAACGGAUAAAAGCUACCCUGGGGAUAACAGGCUGAUCUCCCCCAAGAGUCCACAUCGACGGGGAGGUUUGGCACCUCGAUGUCGGCUCAUCGCAUCCUGGGGCUGAAUUCGGUCCCAAGGGUUUGGCUGUUCGCCAAUUAAAGCGGCACGCGAGCUGGGUUCAGAACGUCGCGAGACAGUUCGGUCCUCUAUCCUCUGUGGGCGUUGGAAAAUUGAGGGGUUCAGACCUUAGUACGAGAGGACCGGGUCUGACGCACCACUGGUGCAUCGGUUGUACUGUCAAGUGCAUGGCCGAGUAGCUAAGUGCGGACGGGAUAAGCGCUGAAAGCAUCUAAGCGCCAAGCCCAUCCCAAGAUGAGUUUUCCCUAUAGGUUCGUGGAAGACCACCACGUUGAUAGGUCGCAGGUGUAAGUGCAGCAAUGUAUUGAGCCAAGCGAUACUAAUCACCAAUAGACUUCAUCAU